AACUAAACGAUAAAUAUAACUUUGUUACAGACUUGGCGGCGAUAAGACAGUUACUGGACAGCGAAACUGGCGCCACAACUUGCCCCAGUUGUAACAUGCCCUUUGAUAAAGGCAAAAAGAGAAAGCUGAUCGACACUUGCGGGCAUGAGCGGUGUUACUCCUGCAUGUUCAGGAAUGAGGCGUGUCCGUUGUGCGCCAGAAGCACCCAGGCUCGGCGGCCAGUGAUGGAGCGGUACACGCCGUCGCCGCAGCGCCAGGACGACUGGCAGUCGCCACUGAGGCUACCCAAGCCGCCGAAACAACCCACCAACCUCGCGCAGAGCUGUCCCACGCCGCCGCACACCAGGAGAAGAUUCUUCCUCAGCCCGAAGUCGCUGCGCAGUCCGUUCGGGCAGCGCGCGGCACUCGCACGACAGCCAUGUGCCGCUCUCCGGGUUGCCAGAGGAAGGUCCGAGGAGUGCUGCGUGGCACAGCUUGGUGUUCAAUAAGAUCAGGUCGCUGUGGACGGCACACUCGUCUGUGCCGCAAGGCCUCAACCAACUGACAGAUGAUGAGGGUGGUCACAUCAAGCAAGGAUACGAGUCGCGGCGGCAGAAUGACCUGUACAUGAGGCUUGGCUUGCUGCUCAGGGAUGGGCGAGGGUCCAGGAACAAGGCUAGAGACAGCUGCACUUCCCUGGCAUCCCUUGACGCU